rnacentral:rRNA from 1 species
AGGACGAACGCUGGCGGCGUGCCUAACACAUGCAAGUCGAACGAGAAUCUACUUAUGAAAUUUCGGAUGGAUUAGGUAGAGGAAAGUGGCGAACGGGUGAGUAACGCGUGAGCAAUCUGCCUUGUACUGGGGGGAUAACGUCGGGAAACCGGCGCUAAUACCGCAUAAUACUAUGAGAUCGCAUGGUCAUAUAGUCAAAAACUCCGGUGGUACAAGAUGAGCUCGCGUCCAAUUAGCUAGUUGGUGGGGUAAUGGCCCACCAAGGCGACGAUUGGUAGCCGAACUGAGAGGUUGAUCGGCCACAUUGGGACUGAGACACGGCCCAGACUCCUACGGGAGGCAGCAGUGGGGAAUAUUGGUCAAUGGGCGGAAGCCUGAACCAAGCCAUGCCGCGUGCAGGAUGACGGCCCUACGGGUUGUAAACUGCUUUUCCCCGGGAAGAAUAAGCCCCUCGUGAGGGGUGAUGCCGGUACCGGGGGAAUAAGGAUCGGCUAACUCCGUGCCAGCCGCCGC